rnacentral:pre_miRNA from 2 species
AGAAAGGAAUUGAGCCAAGGAUGACUUGCCGGUUUAUAUUCAAACGGUUCAUGAUGACCAUUGUUUUGGUCACAUACUCAGCCCUUUGGUUGUGUCUGGCAAGUUGACCUUGGCUCUGUUUCGUUCUCU